GAGCAAGUAGCAGACAGCAUCUCAUGUGGUCCAGGCUGGUGUGGCACUCACUAUGUAGUCCAGGCUGGCUUCAAACUUAUGAUUCUCUUGCCACAGCCUCCUGAGUGCCGAACUCAUAUUCAUUACUAUCCCUAUCUUUCUAGGUGAUUUUGAAUAAGUGGAUUAGUGCCUUUCUGUCACUUCUUUGGGCACGAUGUAAACUGUCCCAGCCUAGAUGUGAGCAGAAGCUGGUGACUAGGACUGGGGUAGAUUAGCUGGGCAGGGGACCUCAGAGACCCCUUUCUACCUAAAAGGUCUCUACUGCAAGCGAGAGACCCCAAAGCAUACCCUGAUGCUAGGUGGGGCUCAGGCGAGACUAGAAGCAUCUGGCUGUCUAGGCAUCCCCCUAGCAGGGCUACAACCCAGUAGCUAUCCAUGGUGACCUGACAGAUAAUGCCCCAUGAUAGACUGGCUUUCUCUGCCUUACUCCAGUGUCCUAUGGAGCAUUCUGUGUUCUCACAGUCUACACUUGUGUCUUUGCUCAAUGUUUGAUUCCAGGUACACACUGGCAGAGGAAGUGGGCCCAGAUUCUUGCCCAGAUAGUGGGUGGAUGACAGUUUUGACUCGAGAGAUAUUUUAGUCUGAAUUCUUCAACCUUUCCAACUCUUCUCUUUCCUUAGCCUUGGAGGUAAUGAGAAAGGAGUCAACCCUCUAGAGCACUGGCUCUCAACCUUUCUGAUGCCGAGACCCUUUAAUACAGUUCCUUAUAUUGUGGUGACCCCCCCCCCACCAUAACAUUAUCAUUUUUCUACUUCAUAACUCUAAUUCUGCUACUGUCAUAAACCAUAAUGUAAAUAUGUGUUUUCCUAUGGUCUUGGCAACCCUGUUAAAGGGCCACGUGGCUCCCCACAGGCUGAGAACCAUUGCCCUAGACCAACCUGAUGCAAAGUGUUGUCAAAGAGACUCACUUCUGACCUUUAAGAUGAGAGCAGAAGACCCUGGAGAGACUUCCCCUCACAUAUACUUGCCACUUGCUAGGAGAGAUUUUGUCCUUUGUCCUCUUCACUCCCCCUCCCCUUUUUCCUUUCCUUUCCUUUCCUUUCCUUUCCUUUCCUUUCCUUUCCUUUCCUUUCCUUUCCUUUCCUUUCCUUUCCUUUCCUUUCCUUUCCUUCCUUCCUUCCUUCCUUCUCUCUCUCUCUCUCUCUCUUUCUUUCUUUCUUUCUUUCUUUGCUUGAAGCACAAUCUCUUAGCUGGAUGUGCAGCAGCCAUCUUGAGAUCAUGAGGAGCAAACACCACAUGCUGAAGACAGCAAAGUGUCAAGCCAGAGAAAUGGAGAUCUGAGGUGGCAUUGCUCAGCCCUGCUUCAACCCUCUGCCACGUGGCUCCUAGAGAAAACUUAACCUCUGACUUUUCAACACUGUGGUCCGGUUUCUGUCAUCCUCACAGUCACACACUGCCCCCUAGCUCUGGCCAUUGGAAUGUUGUCCAGGUGUCACCAGAUUUUCUGUUUCCAAAAGAGUUUGGGAGCACAGGAAACUGAAGUACAAUGGAGUGAGAGCAGCCACCUCCUCAUCUCUUCCAGUUGUCCUUCCUCUUCCCCAUCCAUCAACACCAGCUACUAGCCUGCCUGUUAUCCCCUCAUCUUUCACCUCGGCACACAAUUUUGCUUACUGUGCAUACCUGGCCUUCCCGCCUGGAGGUUUUUUUCGACUGGCAUUGUCAGUGCGUUGGAAUUGCCUGAGAGUCUGUGACUCUGGAAAUGGACCACAGGCAAAGACAUGGAACCUAGAGGAUAAAUACCCAGCUGCCUGCUGUCAGAGAGUGAGCUCUAUGGGGAGCUUUAUACACCUGGCUGUCUAGGCAUCCCCCUAGCAGGGCUGCAACCCAGUAGCUAUCAAUGGUGAUCUGGCAGAUAAUGCCCCAUGGUCGACUGGCUUUCCCUGCCUUACUCCACUGUCCUGUGGAGCAUUCUGUGUUCACACAAUCUACACUUGUGUCUUUGCUCAAUGGUUGAUUCUAGAGGAACUCAAAUUAAGAAAUAUAGAUGUUAUAUCUCCAUGUCUGUCCUCUCCCACAUAUCUACGUUUAUCAUCUGUGUCCCUAUGCAUCAUCUACUUAUUUUAGUCAUAUGUCUCUGCUUAUUUCUCUAUAUUGUGCAUACUUAUGGAUGGAUGUCAUAUAUAAAUGUAUAUCCAUGUAGGUAUAUAUCUAGGCUGUCUAUGUACAUAUGUAUAUAUGUAAGUAAACAUGUGUACAUAUCCAUGAAUUUUACAUAAAAUUAUAAUAUUCUGUAUUUUUCUUUUUCCUCUAUGUAUCUUCAUGUGCUGUAAAACCAGUUGUAUUUUAUGUCAAUAUUGUAUUUCUUUGUAUAGGAAUAUGGACAUAAAUAGUGACACUUUUCAGUUUUCCUUGUUUGUCAGUGUUGGAGAGGUAGCCCCACCCCCACCCCCACAGAGUAUCAUUCCUGUAAAUGUGGUGGACAACCAACGUUUUCAGCUCCCCAAAGGUGAAGUUUUCAUGUGAGACCCAACAGUGAGAUGUUGGUGGGGGGCAUUUCCUUUGCUCAAAUCUCCUGCAGUUUAAUUAUAGGUAUAUGUUCUGAGAGCAUGCCAUGUGUCUGACAAAGAGCUACAUAUUUCCUUAUAUUCCUUAUCCCUCCCACACUAUAGUUUUAUAAUGAAGAUAAUUGUGAUGGUUUGGAUGAUAAUGGCCCCCAUAGGCUCAUAUAUUUGAAUACCUGGUUCACAGUUGAUAGAACUGUUUUAGAAGGAGUAGGAGGUGUGGCCUUAUUGGAGAAUGUGUGCCACCCAGUUGGCUCUCUCUGAGAUGAGUUCCAGGAUAGCUACAUAAGUGAGAUUCUGUCUGGGAAAAAAACUACCACCAACAACAAAAUCAAAACCAAAACUC
rnacentral:lncRNA from 1 species